rnacentral:sRNA from 1 species
GUGUUCUUCUUUGGGUACUGGUAUCGCCACAGGCGCGCCUGAGUACCCGCAGGCGCCCGGAUUCGAGGGUCGCCACCAUGUUCAUAUAAACCCCGGUCGGCAACCCGACCGGGGU